rnacentral:lncRNA from 1 species
ACAGUCCGCAAUACCUCACUGAUCCUAAGAAUUUGCAAACUCAUCUAGGGUUCAACAGGGUUGGGAUGGAAAGGAUGGUUUGAGUCAUCUCUGGGGUGAGCCAGCACAAUCCAUCCUGUAGGGAUAUCCCAAGAAAGAGACCUCCGUGUGGGCGAUGUGAGCCUUCUUGGUCUUUAAUUGGUAACCCGCCGAGUCAAGGCAGCGGAGCAAGGUUUCCAUCGCAGUCUUGCAAGAGUCUUUGGUUGGAGCAGCGAUAAGGAGGUCAUCAACAUAUUGUAGGAGGGUAUCCUCGGGAUUAUGCUCAGGGAACGGCUGCAAAUCUCGGGCCAAGGCAUCACUGAAGAAGGAGGGGCUAAAUUUGAGACCCUAUGGCAGACUACUUCAAUAAAGUUAGUCAACUUUAAUACACUGAAAUGAAAACCAUUGAGAUGAAAACCAUUUAUGAUAAUUUUAAACAAAAACCCAUUUCUGAUAUCAGAAAUCCAUGGAAAACCAAAGUCAUCAAGCAUUUCCAAAGAAAGUCAGCCCAGAGAGAGAAGAAAGCAGAUGUCUGUCUAGCACCAACCACAGCACAACACAGAGGCCAAACACCAGAAAAAAAUAGCAGAUAAACAAACAAGGCAAAACCAUUGACUUAGGGACAGGUCUAAAGCACUAUUCACACAAAUGAACUUUUACUGAGAGGCAGUUUACCUACAGAAGAAUAUCAUUAACUUGCUUAAAGAUAUUCUAUUCUAAAAGUAUAUGGGUAUUUGUUGUAAGAUCAAUUCUUAUCAUGUACCUGAAGAAUUCAAAUGGUAUUUUAUUGAAAUUGUUCCAUGUUACCCAAAUUUGAUCAAAAAAUAAAUUGUACAAUUGGAAUUGGAAGUGUUAUAAC